rnacentral:rRNA from 1 species
UACGUAGGGUGCAAGCGUUGUCCGGAAUUAUUGGGCGUAAAGAGCUCGUAGGCGGCUUGUCACAUCGACUGUGAAAACCCGGGGCUCAACUCCGGGCCUGCAUUCGAUACUGCCGUGCUUGAGGACUGGAGAGGAGACUGGAAUUUACGGUGUAGCGGUGAAAUGCGUAGAUAUCGUAAGGAAGACCAGUGGCGAAGGCGGGUCUCUGGACAGUUCCUGACGCUGAGGCACGAAGGUCAGGGGAGCAAACGGG